GGACCCGCACAAGCGGUGGAGUAUGUGGCUUAAUUCGAUGCAACGCGAAGAACCUUACCUAGGCUUGACAUGUAUUGCUAAGCACGUGAAAGCGUGUGACUCUUCGGAGACCUUACACAGGUGCUGCAUGGCCGUCGUCAGCUCGUGUCGUGAGAUGUUUGGUUAAGUCCAGCAACGAGCGCAACCCCUGUGGAUAGUUGCCAGCACGUAAUGGUGGGGACUCUAUCCAGACUGCCCAGGUCAACUGGGAGGAAGGUGGGGAUGACGUCAGGUCAGUAUGGCCCUUACGCCUAGGGCUGCACACGUACUACAAUGCCCAGUACAAUGAGAACCGAGACCGCGAGGUGGAGGAAAUCUGCAAAACUGGGCCCAGUUCGGAUUGGAGGCUGCAACUCGCCUGCAUGAAGUUGGAAUC
rnacentral:rRNA from 1 species